rnacentral:misc_RNA from 1 species
GAGACACUAGACAGACUGUAAUCAUAGCUCUUCCUCCCCUUCCUCAACUUCCUCCACAGAACUCUCACUCUUUCCCUCUUCUUCCCACCUCUUCCCUCCCCGAAAGAGAGGGAAUAGCUCAGACGGCCAUCGGGGUAGGGCUCGCGGAGGACGGUGGUGGGAGACAUCCUCGGAGGGAGGUGGAGGACCUUGGAUGGUAAUGGAUUUGGGAUGUGUCGAGGUGGGAGGAGAUGGUCGUGG